AAAUCUUCUGCCAAAUGCGUAAAUGUUUACUAAUGUGGACAUAGCUUUCCGUAUUUUCCUGACAUUGCCUGUUACUAACGCCAGCGGGGAACGUUCUUUUUCCAAACUGUCUUUAGUCAAAAACAGUCUUCGUUCAACAAUGUUGCAAGAACGACUGAACAAUCUAGCGUUGAUGUCCCUGGAAUGUGACAUCCUCCGAUCCCUGGAUUUCAGCGACAUUAUCAAGCACUUUUCCUACAUAAAAAGCAGGAAAAAAGUUUUUAAGAUGAACUGAAUUUUUAUUGGAAUAUUAUAGAAUUGACAGCCGUUAUUUUGAAUGCUUGAAUUAAGGUUUUUGUCAUGACUCAUGUUGCUCUCUUUGUGUGAGUCGUUAAUUAUUAUUUCUUUGCCAUGUAGUUUGUACAGCAACUGUUUUGUUAUAAAUCGAGACCCUCGCGUUCUGCUUUGUGCCUUUAAAAGACAUUCCUGAGCGCUGAAUACGCAUUUUUAAGCGCAGAGAUGCGUUCCACGUUCUAUGGGGGGCCUGUGGUAAUUCAUAGCCCCGGGGCCCAUGGAGGUCUUAAUACGGCCCUGUACAUGGACACGUUGAAGUAAAAUCAUUCAGCUAAACAUUAACGCAAUGAAAUGUCUACAGUCAACGUUACAUCGAUAAAGCACAGUCGUUUUGCGCAACGAUUUACCAUGGUGGACAGGGACCGUGGGAGGGAUUAGAUUGCGUCGCGAUGCGGGCGUGGGUGAUUCUGAACUGGUUACUUUUUGUACAUUUUGUGAAUGGUUUGACUUUGUACAAGAAACUGAUUCUUGCUGUUACAACAUGCUGAUCACUCUUUCCUUUUUUCAGAAAUUGAGGUUGAUGUUCACAGAGACCAUGAUUUUAUACUUAUUUGAAGGCUCCUUUAAAAAACAGGCCAAGUUUAACAGAUUUGUGCGCGAGAUGAAGGAGGUGGUUACAAUAACACUAGAACCAAUGCCAGCAGAAACUAUCAACUCACUUAAACUACACAAAUUGCAGAAAUGCAACAAGUGGUGGACUGCCUGCUGGAUUUGCCAAUCCACCCUUUACUAAAUCCGAGGCUUGAUAAGAUAGAACCAUGCCAAAAAUCCUCCAAGGACAGACACAAAAUCAUUACAGUUCUCCAUGAAGCCAUGGUAGAAGAACACCCACUGCAACAUUACCACUUCAAAUGCAAGUAAAAACUUUUCUAAGGAGCCUGUUGGUUUUGAUUUGAACGUUUGACGGUGAGCUAAAAGCCCUUUGUGCCCGAAGAUACCAACAAAAGUAAGCUUCUUAACUCAUACAUUAUAGCGACAGUUCUGCCAAAAAUAAAAAUUCUGUCAUUUCCUUACCUUCGAGUUGUUACAAAUCUGUAUACUUUUCUUUGUUCUGAUGAACAAAGAGAAAGAUAUUUGGAAGAAUGCUUGUAACUUGACAGAUUUUGCCCCCCAUUGACUACCAUAGUAGGAAAAAAUACAAUGGUAGUCAAAAUUGCCCCAGAACUGUUUGCUGUCCUACAUUCUUAGUCAAUGGGGGGCAAAAUCAAGUUAUAAGCAUUCUUCCAAAUAUCUUUCUCUUUUGUUCAUCAGAACAAAGAAAAUGAUAAAGUAAUUUUUCCUGCUGUGGGAAUCAAUGGGGGGCAAAAUCUGGCUGGUUAUAAGCAUUCUUCCAAAUAUAUUUAUUUGUUUUCCUCAGAACUAAGAAAUUUAUACAGAUUUGGAACAACUAGAAGGUGAGUAAAUG